rnacentral:rRNA from 1 species
UGGGGAAUAUUGGACAAUGGGCGCAAGCCUGAUCCAGCAACGCCGCGUGAGUGAWGAAGGCCUUCGGGUUGUAAAGCUCUUUUACCCGGGAAGAWAAUGACUGUACCGGGAGAAUAAGCCCCGGCUAACUCCGUGCCAGCAGCCGCGGUAAUAC